rnacentral:rRNA from 1 species
AUUGAACGCUGGCGGCAAGCCUAACACAUGCAAGUCGAACGAGUGGCGGACGGGUGAGUAAUGUCUGGGAAACUGCCCGAUGGAGGGGGAUAACUACUGGAAACGGUAGCUAAUACCGCAUACCAUCGGAUGUGCCCAGAUGGGAUUAGCUAGUAGGUGGGGUAAAGGCUCACCUAGGCGACGAUCCCUAGCUGGUCUGAGAGGGUGACCAGCCACACUGGAACUGAGACACGGUCCAGACUCCUACGGGAGGCAGCAGUGGGGAAUAUUGCGCAAUGGACGCAAGCCUGAUGCAGCCAUGCCGCGUGAGUGAAGAAGGCCUUCGGGUUGUAAAGUUCUGUCGGCGGAGAGGCGGUACCCACAGAGAAAGCACUGGCUAACUCCGUGCCAGCAGCCGCGGUAAUUC